AUGAGCGCCAUUGGCAUGGCGCCAUACCGCCGGCUGGUUCUGCUGGCAAACCGGACCAGAGCCGUCCAGGCGGCCCUCUCAGAAAACGCCUCCGUUGCUCUGCGGCUGUUCACAGUGGAAGACGAGCUCAAUCAUUUGACCUCCGACAUCAACGCGCUGCUGCAGCAGGUCCCGCGCCUGUCCAACAACCUGGAGAAAGUGGAUGUGUCUGUAAACAGCACCGUUUCCCAGGGUGCACUGCUGCUGGAUGACAUCAGCAGCCUUCAGCACCACAUCCAGGUGCUUCAGAGGAAGGCGGGGCUUCUGAACCAAACCGGUGCCAAGGAGCUUGAUUCGGCCAAUCAGAUGCAUCUGCUGGAGGAGGUGGAGUCCAUGAUGGAAAGCAUCCGCGCCAUCGACCUGAAGGGCACCAACGCCUUGGCCAAUCAGGAGCUCCGGUUUGUGUUUGUGUGUUAGAUAAAAGAUAAACGGUUUACGUGGGUACAAGUAAAACAGCAGGACGUCUCUCUGCAGCCUCUCCGAGUCUCUCGUCCGAUCGCUGCAGGACGACUUCCUGUCCGGCAGGGCGGCAGUAGACGCCAGACUCCGCCUCCUCUCCGCGCCCCUCAAUGUUGCUAUGGAAACACUGCAACUUGCUCAAACGCGGCUGAGCGACACUGAACUACAAAACAGACAAACACGCACUCUCCUGGAAACCGCACACGCUUUGCUUCACCGCUACAAGGUAGACACACACAUCACACUGCAAAGACACACCCAGUGUAAACACACACACUGUACACAC
ensembl:lncRNA